GGUAGCUCAGUCUGGAAGAGCAACCCCGCAAGGGGUCUGUCGCGGGUUCGAUUCCCGUCCACCC
rnacentral:tRNA from 1 species